GACGAACGCUGGCGGCGUGCUUAACACAUGCAAGUCGAACGAAGAGCGAUGGAAGCUUGCUUCUAUCAAUCUUAGUGGCGAACGGGUGAGUAACGCGUAAUCAACCUACCCUUCAGAGGGGGACAACAGUUGGAAACGACUGCUAAUACCGCAUACGAUCUAACCUCGGCAUCGAGGAUAGAUGAAAGGUGGCCUCUACAUGUAAGCUAUCACUGAAGGAGGGGAUUGCGUCUGAUUAGCUAGUUGGAGGGGUAACGGCCCACCAAGGCGAUGAUCAGUAGCCGGUCUGAGAGGAUGAGCGGCCACAUUGGGACUGAGACACGGCCCAGACUCCUACGGGAGGCAGCAGUGGGGAAUCUUCCGCAAUGGACGAAAGUCUGACGGAGCAACGCCGCGUGAGUGAUGACGGCCUUCGGGUUGUAAAGCUCUGUUAAUCGGGACGAAAGGCCUUCUUGCGAAUAGUGAGAAGGAUUGACGGUACCGGAAGAGAAAGCCACGGCUAACUACGUG
rnacentral:rRNA from 1 species